ACCCCCACGUGGGGACGAGACGUGACCUCGCUUCCUUCCCCUUCAUCCGAAGAGCCGCCAGCCAGGGGAGCGGUGGCCACAGCAGCCAGGGACAGCCAGUCCACAUGGCUGGGGACACCGGGAUGGCCGGGAAGGUGGCACUGCUCCUGUGGGCCCAGACCCUCGGCCUCGCUGGUGCCCAGACCACCCAGCUCCUCGUGGAGCCCCCCUGGAGGCCGGCAGUGCUGUGGGACCGGGUGACACUGACCUGCCAGGGCUCGGGGACCGCCGGUGUCACCACCUGGUACAAGG